CGCCUGCCGGCACCUUCUCCCCGCAAAGCGGGGAGAAGGGACAAGCGGCAUGCACUCAGUCCCGAUGAACUCGAGCGUGCACCGCGAGUCUCCUUCGCCCCGCUUGCGGGGAGAAGGUGCCGGCAGGCGGAUGAGGGGCUGUCGCGCGGUCGUUCACUCUUUCAAUAAGUCGGUGCUAUCUGCAAUUGCGGCAGCGGCCGCGGGGCGGUCUUCGUCAGGUCGGGGCCUUCACCGCUCCAUUUCUCUCCCUCACCGAUCAGCUUUUCGAGAAGCCGCGCCGCCUCUUCGCGCUCCGCCUUGCUUGCGAAGCGGUAAGAGGGCGGCUUCGACGUGGCGUCGUGGGCGAGCGCAUAGGCGGGCUCGUAAUCGGGGAUUUUCGGCCGGUAGGCGUCGCUCGCGGCAAUGUCGAUGGUGUAGCGCUGGAGCGCCGAGGCGAGAUUGCGCCACCGGAUCCAGUAAUGGUUCUCGAAGGAGAACCGGGCGAAUGCCUCGCCGGCGGCCGUGCCUUUUUUCGAGACGGCCGCGAGGACCUCCUUCGACAUGGCGAGGUUCAGGCC
rnacentral:sRNA from 1 species